rnacentral:rRNA from 1 species
UACGUAGGGGGCUAGCGUUGUCCGGAUUUAUUGGGCGUAAAGAGCGUGUAGGCGGCCAGGUAGGUCCGUUGUGAAAACUCGAGGCUCAACCUCGAGACGUCGGCGGAAACCCUCUGGCUAGAGUCCGGAAGAGGAGAGUGGAAUUCCUGGUGUAGCGGUGAAAUGCGCAGAUAUCAGGAAGAACACCAAUGGCGAAGGCAGCUCUCUGGGACGGUACUGACGCUGAGGAGCGAAAGCGUGGGGAGCGAACAGG